CAGACUGCCACUAAUUGUUCGUGCAGAGAGAGACGUUUGUUGUGGGCUUUGACAACAUCUACUUGAAGACAGAGGCGAGGAAAUAAAGACCUAGAAAAUGGCAAACAGCACUUUGGGACCUCAAAAUCUGAGCAACGUCGAAAGAAAUCACUCCACAGAUCUGACGGGCCUAUCAAACACAGAAAUCUUCAGCAUAUGCACAUAUUUUGUCAUCUUAGUCACGGGUGUGAUCGGAAACGGGCUUGUCAUCUUUGUGACCGGCUACAAAAUGAAGACGACGGUCAACUCCAUUUGGUUUCUCAACUUGGCGAUUGCAGACUUCAUUUUCAUUUUGUUCUUGAUUCUCUAUAUCGUUGUUACCUUUUACAAGAUGGUCUGGCCCUUUGGCGACGUCAUGUGCAAAAUAACUUCCUUGGUCUCGAUACUAAAAAUGUUUGCGAGCAUUUUUUUGCUGACAGCCAUCAGUCUGGACCGAUGUCUGUGCACAUGGGUGGUCGUGUGGGCUCAGAAUAAACGGACUCUAGUCAAAGCCAGAAUCAUCUGUGUGUUUGUGUGGCUUUCAUCCAUCUGCUGCAGCAUCCCUUUCGUCAUCAAUCGUUCUGUACAGAAAAAUAUUGGAUUUGAAUACUGCGUCUAUUCAAGCCCCAUCAAUGUCAUUAUGUCUCUGUUCAUAUACAGGUUUACGGUGGGCUUUGUAAUUCCCUUCUUAAUCAUUGCAUCUUCAUACAUAGCUAUUGGUGUGCGGGCCAAACGCCUCAAAAGAGGAAAGCAGCUUCGGCCUUUCCGGGUCAUUAUACCUGUGAUUCUGGCCUUUUUCAUGUGCUGGUUUCCUUUUCAUGUUCAACAGUUGUGUCUCAUAAGUGCACUUAAGAAUCAUUGGAGUGACAGCGUUCAAGAAGGAAUUGAGGCUGCGGGACCUUUCGUAACCUGUCUGGCUUAUCUGAACAGCUGUCUGAACCCCAUUCUCUAUGUGUUCAUGUGUGACGAGUUUAAGGAGAAACUUAAAAAGUCUCUGCUGCUGGUGCUCGAGGGGGCUUUUACUGAGGAGCACGUGAGUUUCAGAUCAACACGCUUUUCACGCCUCUCAGAGUCACAACAAGAUGAAACAAAGGCACUGCCUCAGCCUUCACUCCCACUACGGCAAAAAUGGAUGGUGCGAAUAAAUCAGGUUAUAAGCAUGCAAGCAUGCAGGUUGUGAAUAUCUUAAAAAGUUGCAUGAAGGAAGUUUAUUUACUUUUUCGCUAGCGAUACUUGAAUUGAUGUAAAGGGGUCAUAUGACAGGGCUGAAAGGAAUAUUAUGGUUUGUUUUAGAUGUAAUGCGCACGAUUUAAGGUUCAAAAACGUUGUAUUUUACGCAUACCGUGCAUGUUUGUAUCUCCUCUUUGCCCCGCCUCUCUGAAACGCGCUGAUUUUUUACAAAGCUCAUGGCUCUGAAAAGCAAGGUGUGCUAUGAUUGGCCAGUUAGCCAGUGCGUAGUGAUUGGUCGAAUACUGCAAGCGUGUGGCGGAAAUGUAACGCCUCUUACCAUAUUUGGAACAUCACGUUCCAUAUUUGUAUUAUACAGUCUAAUGUCAAGAGGAAUAAGUCAACCUGUUUUCCUUUGACUACAGUAUGUGCUUACAAAUUGUACAGAGGUGUUAGUAGUUCUCUUUUUAAUUUGUUACUUCUUUAUCUUCCAAUGAAGCCAUUUUUGGGGGCGGAAGCUUAAUCUAGACGGGCCUUAACAGAGAACAGUACUGCUGACUAAACCAUUGGCAGAAGCUCUAUGUUUUGCCAACAUAGACGCUGAGAAGCGUUUUUUUACACCUCCCGUGUAUCAAAUAUUACUGUAAUGUGUCCUACACUGAAUACAUUGAAUUGUUUCAUAACGGAGAUCGAGUGUUACCCCAGCUUAAUUUCACAAAACAGUUCAUUUCUCUUUCCUCUUGCUUAUAUAAAAGACGGUGUGCUGCAUUUGACAGUAGAGUAACAUACAGAUCAGCAUUUGUUUGUUACCUCUGAGAUAAAAGAGCAUCAUAAAACUGCUUCUAGCUGUCGCAUUCGAACUGAAUCCUUAAAGACCAAACAGAAGCUUCAUCCGAUACAUCAUCAUCAACCACCAAUGCACCCGUCCAAAUGAAUCUCCCAAUGAACAUCACAAUAUUCCUUCCCUGCAUGACUUCUGUGUUUGACGUUGUUGGAAACGGAGUGGUCAUCUACGUAACUGGCCUGAGAAUGAAGAAAACCGUCAACACCAUUUGGUUUAGCUGAUUUUCUCUUUACGUUCUUUUUGAUCUUCAACAUAAUCUACGAAUCCCACCAUUUCGACUGGCCUUUCGGUGAUUUCAU